rnacentral:rRNA from 1 species
CCCUUAGAUGUUCUGGGCUGCACGCGUGCUACAAUGGCGCUUGCAACAAGUCUUGCCAACCCGAUAGGGUGAGCGGAUCUUUGAAGAGGCGUCGUGAUCGGGACAGUUGAUUGCAAUUAUUCGACUCGAACGAGGAAUUCCUUGUAAUCGCGAUUCAUCAUAUCGCGCUGAAUACGUCCCUGCCCUUUGUACACACCGCCCGUCGCUCCUACCGAUUGAGCGAUCCGGUGAAUGUUUUGGUCUGGCGUCAGAAGCGGUUCGCUCCUGACACUACGAAAUUUUGUAAACCUUAUCGCUUAGAGGAAGGAAAAGUCGUAACA